AGUGAACGCUGGCGGUAGGCCUAACACAUGCAAGUCGAGCGGCAGCACAGUAAGAGCUUGCUCUUACGGGUGGCGAGUGGCGGACGGGUGAGGAAUACAUCGGAAUCUACUUUUUCGUGGGGGAUAACGUAGGGAAACUUACGCUAAUACCGCAUACGACCUACGGGUGAAAGCAGGGGAUCUUCGGACCUUGCGCGAUUGAAUGAGCCGAUGUCGGAUUAGCUAGUUGGCGGGGUAAAGGCCCACCAAGGCGACGAUCCGUAGCUGGUCUGAGAGGAUGAUCAGCCACACUGGAACUGAGACACGGUCCAGACUCCUACGGGAGGCAGCAGUGGGGAAUAUUGGACAAUGGGCGCAAGCCUGAUCCAGCCAUACCGCGUGGGUGAAGAAGGCCUUCGGGUCGUAAAGCCCUUUUGUUGGGAAAGAAAAGCAGCAGGUUAAUACCCCGCUGUUCUGACGGUACCCAAAGAAUAAGCACCGGCUAACUUCGUG
rnacentral:rRNA from 1 species